CCUACGGGUGGCUGCAGUAGGGAAUCUUCCACAAUGGACGAAAGACUGAUGGAGCAACGCCGCGUGCGUGAAGAAGGGUUUCGGCUCGUAAAACUCUGUUGUUAAAGAAGAACAUAUCUGAGAGUAACUGUUCAGGUAUUGACGGUAUUUAACCAGAACGCCACGGCUCACUACGUGCCAGCAGCCGCGGUAAUACGUAGGUGGCAAGCGUUGUCCGGAUUUAUUGGGCGUAAAGCGAGCGCAGGCGGUUUUUUAAGUCUGAUGUGAAAGCCUUCGGCUCAACCGAAGAAGUGCAUCGGAAACUGGGAAACUUGAGUGCAGAAGAGGACAGUGGAACUCCAUGUGUAGCGGUGAAAUGCGUAGAGAUAUGGAAGAACACCAGUAGCGAAGGCGGCUGGCUGGUCUGUAACGGACGCUGAGGCUCGAAAGUAUGGGUAGCAAACAGGAUUAGAUACCCCGGUAGUC
rnacentral:rRNA from 1 species